GUCCCUAUCGUCUAAGGGUUAGGACUUUGCCUUUUCACGGCAAAAAUAUGGGUUCAAAUCCCAUUAGGAAUA
rnacentral:tRNA from 1 species